CUGAAAGCCCUUGGAAAAUGAAUGAAGCUGAGGUCAGCAGCGGGCAGCUGUGAGCAUUAUUAUAAAUUCACUGGGGUUACUGAAAUCCAAUGCUGGACUCUUUAUGGUGAAAGUCCUGGCUCUCCCAGAAAUGAACAUUUUAAUGACAAACUGGGAAACGACGUAUCCAUCCCCAGAACACAUGGCAGUAGACUGAGAGAUGUGUGUUCAGCUGACAGUGGUCAUUCUGAGGCCAGAAACAGUGCAUUGUGGGAAACACGGACUUUCAGAGGACAGGACCAGAGUCUCAGGCCACUGAAGGCUAGAAAUGCCAUCUGCCUUUAUAUUCCUUGGUGCUUGGUACAAAACAAAUCCUUAAUAAAUACAUGUUGAAAGCAAUACCUGGGAACCCUAAAGCUUAUGGUACAACUGACCCAAAUAGCUCCAGGAUCCCUCCAGCAAGUGGAA
rnacentral:lncRNA from 1 species